GUAAGAGCACCCGACUGCUCUUCUGAAGGUCCAGAGUUCAAAUCCCAGCAACCACAUGGUGGCUCACAACCAUCCGUAAACGAGAUCUGACUCCCUCUUCUGGAGUGUCUGAAGACAGCUACAGUGUACUUCCAUAUAAUAAAUAAAUAAAUAAAUAAAUAAAUAAAUAGAAGUUUCUUAAAAAAAAAAAAAAAAAAAGAAGUGCUCUGAUGGAUAAAUGAAUAGAUAAGGCAUUAACUAUAAUAUAGCACCUAGCAGAUUUUAGGCCUGCCAUUGGUUCUCUGCCUUACUCAGGUGUGAGAUGAGCAGUCCUGGUGGGCCAGUGUGUCCCAGGUCCUAUGUAGACACUUCCUUGAGGGCAAGUUGUAAAGAAGACGUCUGUAGAUUAUCGUCAUGCUAUCUCAGCUUGUUAUAUUCCUGAGCUUCCUCAGGUGACCUCACAUCAAAGUGGAGGGAAAUUGAGAGAAAUUUCUCCUUAGCAUGGCUUUUACCAUGUUUAUACUUUGUUGUUGUUUGAGGCAGUGCCUCAGUGUAUAGCUUGGGUUGGCCUUGAACUCACAACCACCUUUUCUCACCUCUCGUAGUGGGGAUUGCAGUGGAUUCCAUCUCACUAGCUAGCAGUUAGACUUCUUUCUCUUGUCUCCCACUUGGAGGUGCUGCUGUGAUUGUUCAUCUUUUUGGUGACUUGAUGUAUCUUGGUUAUAAAUUUUAAUAGUAUAUUUCUUCAUAGGUCAAAUAAAUAUGCUACAACUCUCCCAGCCCUGCUACUGGCCAGGCCUAAAGAAGGUAGAAUAGAGAGUGUCCCACUAGACACCACCCUGGUACAAGACAUGGCUCAGAUACUAGCAAAUGCACUACUGGAAGCAUUUGUGAGUAUAUUGUAUAUAAUAAGGAGGUUAUUUGAAAUAAAAUUCUGAUUGAUCAAUGGUAAUAUCACAUGAUUAGCACAUAAGUUUUCAGCUUUCAGAAGCUCUGGGGUGUCAUUUUAUGGCUGAAUACUUGCUUGAUUCUGUUUAUUUUAUACACACAACUUUUCUAGUGUGCUGGUAAAACUUCACUGGCUUCCUGGGGCCAAAGUGUCCAGUGUCCGGUAAACAUUGUUACAAUAAAGAUGGUCUAGAAGGUCAGACAUCCUGGUUGUAAAUUCUUCCGAGUCCUCACUGGCUCUGUGUUGUAUUUGCUGCUCCUAAGAUUUCCAUGUGUAUGGUACAGAAUCACUGCUGGGAGUAAAUGUCCGAAGAGUGCCACUUAGUAGAGAGUGUCUGGCCUGUAGCAAGCAUUCAGCAAGUGUUAGCUAUUGCUAUAAUUUAUACAGUUUUAAAAUGCCACCAUCUGACCCAUUUUCUAAUGCCCUUUCCUGGAGUCACAAGCACACCAGGUGUAACCUAGGAUACUUGAUUUCAGUAGCUACAAUACACUUGUAUUUCUGAAGUUAUGAUGGGGUAUUAGUAUCAGCUAUAAAUAUUGACUGAAUGAUCUCCUUUCUCGUUUCUUGUCACGGUGACCUACAUGCUAAUACAUUGGGUAGGCUAAAUUAAAGAUUACAUAAAGGGUAGACUUUAAAACAAGUUUCUGUGUUACCUUGAGUCUGUCCCCCCAACCCUCCUGCUAAGUUAACAGGUCAUAAUUAAUCAAAUAACUGAGUUAAUAUUUUUCAGCAUGUGGUUUUCUAAAUCAUUGUUCUAAUAAUUUUUAAGAGACAUAUUGUUAGAGAAAUGCUACCUUAACAUAUACAUAGUAGAGUAAAUUAUAUAUUCAAAUAAUACAAGAGUAAUAGAGAAGGAAUUUGGACUCAGCUGUAACUUCUCCAGGUUUAAACUUGAGAAUAUAUUUCUCCAAAAUCUAAAAACAAUUAUCAGUCUCUUCUUAUUUUAUUACUUUUUUUUAUACUCCAGUUGUUACUCCCUUCCCAGUCUGCCCUCCUACAGUUCCUCAUCCCAUUCCUACUCCCCUGUCUCUUUAUUAAGUAUAUUUUCAUGAAGGAAAAUAUAUUAAUGCUUAUUUAUAAUAUCUGCUCAGUAAUAAUUUGUGUUAAUGCUCUGUAUUAACUAGUUUCCCCUUGUUGGAUAUUUGUUAUCUUUUAGACAGCUUGGUCUUUCUCUCUUGGCUGAUAUGGAAAAGGAGACUGGCCAUCACUGACCUUUGCUGUCCCAAAUUCCUAUUCUAUUUAGUCAUCCUCCUGCAAACAGGCCGGUCUGUCCAGGUCACCAGUCUGAUAGAAAAUCUGCAGUUCCCAGGAGCUAGAACCCUGCCUGGAUGGAUCGUUCCUGUCUGGUCGUGCAGUUACACUUGCCUCUUGCUUUCCCUACGCUGUCAUCCGUCAGCUCCCUGAUGCCCCACAUGUAGCUGUAACAGCUCUCUCUGUUGUGAUGAUAGCCCUCAGUGUCUGUAGCUCUGCUGGAGUACAAACCCAGCCUGUCAGGACCUUAUUCUUGACACAGGGACUUUCUACGGUAUCAGAGUGACACUUCCUCCCCUCCCCUUGUCUUUUUGAUAGGUUGGCUUCCUUAGCUGUUGAACAUGAGCAGUGUUCAGGGAUCACAGCAGUUUGCACACCUCUCUCUUCUAGUGAGUGAAUUCCUCGAGGGCAGCAAGUUUCUUACACCUCAGGCUUCUUAUUCUUAGUACAUGAGAUGAGCAGAAGUCACCUUCAUCUCAUGUUUCUAGGGCUCUGAGAGAUGUGUCAUCAUUUAGGAGAGGAUGCCAUCCAUGUCAGAGAUAGGCAACAGGUAGAACUGCUGAAGGCCAGCCUAGGGCAUUUGAAGAAGCAGACGUAGGAUUUAACUUGUGGCGUAGGAAAUCUAAGAUGAUUAUUGUGAGAAUGAAGAAAAGAAGUAGAAGAAAGAGUGAUUGGCAAAGGGAAGGGAAAGGUAUAUGCCAGCUUGGGUAAAGGUUGUUGGCAUGGUUUUAAAAAGUCAAGUUGUUGGUAAGGGUUUCUAGUGACCCAGUGAAAUCAGCUGGUAGGUAGUAAGCCUGCUUUCUCCUUCCCUACAGAGCCUCUGGGAACAUUUCUCAUCUGAAAUGAGAUGAUGUUUCUAGCUCACAGUGCCUCCAGAGGGCACUGUACUACUGCGGGACACCCUUGUAAAGCAGUAACAGGAAGGUGGUAGACAGUUAGAUCUCUUACUCCUCACUAAAUUCCUUUCAGCUGCUUUAAACCCAGAAGAGGUAAAAAUUGGCGUUUGGGCUUGUUUAGCACAUCUUUAAUUGUUUUAAACAUCCAAAGGAUACAUAUGUUUGGAAAAAGCGAGCUAAUCAUGGAGAGGGGGGAAAAGGUUAUAAUUUCAGUUUCGCUUAUGUUUAAUCUCUAGUAAAUUAAAAAACAAACAAAC
rnacentral:lncRNA from 1 species